rnacentral:rRNA from 1 species
UGAAUCAAAACUUUCAACAACGGAUCUCUUGGCUCUGGCAUCGAUGAAGAACGCAGCGAAAUGCGAUAAGUAAUGUGAAUUGCAGAAUCCAGUGAAUCAUCGAAUCUUUGAACGCACAUUGCGCCCGCCAGCAUUCUGGCGGGCAUGCCUGUUCGAGCG